AUGAGUUUUCUUUUAAGGGUCGUCAGAGACUAUGACGUUGAUAGGCUACAGGUAUAAAACUGGUAACAGUAAAGCCGAGUAGUACUAAUUGCCCGUAUGCUUUAAUUUU
rnacentral:rRNA from 1 species